rnacentral:ncRNA from 1 species
GCUUGUGGCAACCAAGUAUUCAUAGCAAUGUCACUUUUUGAUCUUUCAAUGUUGGCUCUUCUUAUCACUGUGAAAAAGAAACCACCAAUCAUUGGAUUGUUCACCUAUUAAUAGGGAAACAUGCUGGGUUUAGACUGUCAUGAGACAUGUU